rnacentral:rRNA from 1 species
AUACGGAGGGUGCAAGCGUUAUCCGGAAUUAUUGGGUUUAAAGGGUCCGUAGGCGGCUAGAUAAGUCAGUGGUGAAAUUCUCUCGCUCAACGAGAGACCUGCCAUUGAUACUGUCUUGGCUCGAGUUACAGUGAGGUGAGUGGAAUGCGUAGUGUAGCGGUGAAAUGCAUAGAUAUUACACAGAACACCGAUUGCGAAGGCAGCUCACUAACUGUAUACUGACGCUGAUGGACGAAAGCGUGGGGAGCAAACAGGAUUAGAUACCCUAGUAGUCC